rnacentral:rRNA from 1 species
UACGAAGGGUGCAAACGUUGCUCGGAAUUAUUGGGCGUAAAGCGCACGUAGGCGGCUUUGCAAGUCGGAUGUGAAAUCCCUCAGCUCAACCAAGGAAGUGCAUCCGAAACUGCGGAGCUUGAGUACUUAAGAGGAUCGCGGAAUUCCCGGUGUAGAGGUGAAAUUCGUAGAUAUCGGGAGGAACACCAGUGGCGAAGGCGGCGAUCUGGGAAGAUACUGACGCUGAGGUGCGAAAGCGUGGGGAGCAAACAGG